rnacentral:rRNA from 1 species
GACGAACGCUGGCGGCGUGCCUAACACAUGCAAGUCGAACGGAGAUGUAAUUUCGGUUAUAUCUUAGUGGCGAACGGGUGAGUAACGCGUGAGCAACCUGACUCUUAGAGGGGGAUAACACCCGGAAACGAGUGCUAAUACCGCAUAAGACCACGACAUGGCAUCAUGACGAGGUCAAAGGAGCAAUCCGCUGAGAGAGGGGCUCGCGUCCCAUUAGAUAGAUGGCGGGGUAACGGCCACCAUGUCAACGAUGGGUAGCCGAGCUGAGAGGCUGAUCGGCCACACUGGAACUGAGACACGGUCCAGACUCCUACGGGAGGCAGCAGUGGGGGAAUAUUGGGCAAUGGCGCAAGCCUGACCCAGCAACGCCGCGUGA